UACGGGGGGGGUAAGCGUUGUUCGGAAUUACUGGGCGUAAAGGGCUCGUAGGCGGCCAACUAAGUCAUACGUGAAAUCCCUCAGCUUAACUGGGGAACUGCGUGUGAUACUGGAUGGCUUGAAUAUGGAAGAGGGUCGUGGAAUUCCUGGUGUAGUGGUGAAAUACGUAGAUAUCAGGAGGAACACCGGUGGCGAAGGCGGCGACCUGGUCCAAUAUUGACACUCAUACACGAAAGCGUGGGGAUCAAACAGG
rnacentral:rRNA from 1 species